rnacentral:rRNA from 1 species
UACGUAGGGUGCAAGCGUUAAUCGGAAUUACUGGGCGUAAAGCGUGCGCAGGCGGUUAUGUAAGACAGUUGUGAAAUCCCCGGGCUCAACCUGGGAACUGCAUCUGUGACUGCAUCGCUGGAGUACGGUAGAGGGGGAUGGAAUUCCGCGUGUAGCAGUGAAAUGCGUAGAUAUCUGGAGGAAUACCGGUGGCGAAGGCGGCAUCCUGGACCGACAUUGACGCUGAACGGCGAAAGCUAGGGGAGCAAACGGG